rnacentral:rRNA from 1 species
CACGUAGGGGGCAAGCGUCGUCCGGAUUCAUUGGGCGUAAAGAGCUCGUAGGCGGCUCAGUAAGUCGGGUGUGAAACCCUCAGGCUCAACCUGGGGACGCCACUCGAUACUGCUGUGGCUAGAGUCCAGUAGAGGAGUGUGGAAUUCCCGGUGUAGCGGUGAAAUGCGCAGAUAUCGGGAGGAACACCAACGGCGAAGGCAGCACUCUGGGCUGGAACUGACGCUGAGGAGCGAAAGCCAGGGGAGCAAACGGG